rnacentral:lncRNA from 1 species
UUUGAAGGGAAUUAAUUAGGCUGCUUAUUGACUGUAAAUGCUUGCCGUGGAUGAUAAAGGGAAGGCUGGCCGCCUGUGUGGGCCCGACUCGGGCAACAAUCGGACAUUUCAGCCACAUUCUGCUCCCUCUGGGGUCAGCUGCUCAGCUUGGCAGGGACCUGACCCUCUUGUCUGUCCUGCCCUCUCCUCCAGGAAGGGGCCAAGCACGCUGAGCCCUGCUUAGUCUAUACCUCCACGCCCUGCUUCUGGUUUUGAAGGCAGUACUAUCUAUGCCACAAGUCUUCCUGAAGCCCCACAGCUCCAAGGAUCCCCUGGGAACUUGGGAACCGCUAGCCACUCUGAGUGCCCAGCCUGCCCACAGGACCAGAGUGUUCUCCAGUGAAGGGAUCCACCAUGGAACCCCCAUCCCCGGCACCUGUCACCGCAGCACCAGAGUUACUGGGUUGAAUGGUGGACCCGGAAGACCUUGUUUGAAUCUUCAGUGUCUUCGUGCCAAAGGCCUGGGACUUUGUAUGGUGCUCUUGGAAGCAAGUAAACUAUCCAGAGCUGGGGCCACAUCGGAGGGUUCGAGGUCACAAGGACCAUCCACUUCUCUUACUCUCUUAUGGUGUACAGGGACUUUCUCCCGCCCCUCUCUCCUUCCCUCCCUCCUUCCCUCUAUUGCUUCCCCCUCCUCCCUCUCUCCUCCCUCCCUCCUCCCUUUCUUCUCUCUCCCUCCUCCCUUUCUCCUUCCUCCCUCCUCCCUCUCUCCUUGCCUUCCUCCUCCCUCUCUCUUUACCUUUCUCUUCCUUCUCUCCUCCUCUCUAUUGCUUCCCCCUCCUCCCUCUCAACUCUCCCUCCUCCCUCUCUCCCUCCCUCCCUCCUCCCCUUCCCUCCUCUUUUAUUUUCUUCAGUUGCUAUUUAUAGAGAUCUGACCUGUUCUAACUGAGCUUGCCAGCAAUCCCCACCUACUGUGCUAUGUGCAGCCAUGGCCUUGAAACACAGCUUUCCUGGUUGCUAGCCCCAGUGCUCUGGGGCCUCACCACAGGGCUUAGGAUUCCUGGGCUGUGGUCAGUGAGGGGGAUUGGCUCCCAGGGUGACUGGCUCUCCCAUCCUGGCCUGACAUAAUGUCCUCUAAUGGCUUGAACAGCCUUGCACUUGAAGCUGCCAGCUCCCCUAGAGGCUGCCCACUUCCUAAACCUCAGUUCCCAGCUUCAAGAGGGAGCUGCCCUUGUCCUCGGCUCACCCCUCCAGGCCUCACCCCUCCAGGCCUCAC